CCUUCAUGUGUUGGAGUAGAUUAUGAUAAGUGUUUUAAUCAAACAGGUUUAAGGAUCAGAUUUUGUUCAAGUGGUAUGAUGUAACAGUCAACCGUCAAUUGGUACACAAAGCAUGUAAGAAGAAGUCUCCCAUUCCAAUAGAGGUUAUGGACGCAUUUGCAGUUUACACAAACAACGAAGACUCCGGUACUGCAGAUUUUGGAUUCUACGUCUUUAGGCCAUCAUUUUUGUGCAACCUACUGGAAGAGGAUGCAAAACCUAAGC